UACGGAGGAUGCGAGCGUUAUCCGGAUUUAUUGGGUUUAAAGGGUGCGCAGGCGGAUUUUUAAGUCAGCGGUCAAUUCGUGGGGCUCAACCCCAUCCAGCCGUUGAAACUGGGGAUCUAGAGUGUGCGAGAGGUAUGCGGAAUGCGUGGUGUAACGGUGAAAUGCAUAGAUAUCACGCAGAACCCCGAUUGCGAAGGCAGCAUACCGGUGCACAACUGACGCUCAGGCACGAAAGCGUGGGUAUCGAACAGG
rnacentral:rRNA from 1 species